GGGUGGUAAUGCCGUCAGUUGAUCGCAUGGUCUUCUGGGAAAGCUUUCGCGGUAUGGGAUGGGGUCGCGUCCUAUCAGCUUGACGGCGGGGUAACGGCCCACCGUGGCUUCGACGGGUAGCCGGCCUGAGAGGGCGACCGGCCACAUUGGGACUGAGAUACGGCCCAGACUCCUACGGGAGGCAGCAGUGGGGAAUAUUGCACAAUGGGCGCAAGCCUGAUGCAGCGACGCCGCGUGAGGGAUGGAGGCCUUCGGGUUGUAAACUCUUUUAUCGGGGAGCAAGCGAGAGUGAGUUUACCCGUUGAAUAAGCACCGGCUAACUACGUGCCAGCAGCCGCGGUAAU
rnacentral:rRNA from 1 species